rnacentral:rRNA from 1 species
ACGAAGGGUGCAAGCGUUACUCGGAAUUACUGGGCGUAAAGGGAGCGUAGGUGGUCGGGUAAGCCCCGCGGGAAAGCUCCAGGCUUAACCUGGAAAGGUCGCGGGGGACUGCGCGGCUAGAGGACGGGAGAGGAGCGCGGAAUUCCCGGUGUAGCGGUGAAAUGCGUAGAGAUCGGGAGGAAGGCCGGUGGCGAAGGCGGCGCUCUGGAACAUUUCUGACGCUGAGGCUCGAAAGCGUGGGGAGCAAACAGGA